UUGACCUACGCGACGCAGCAGUGAGGAAUAUUGGUCAAUGGACGAGAGUCUGAACCAGCCAAGUAGCGUGAAGGAUGACUGCCCUAUGGGUUGUAAACUUCUUUUAUAUGGGAAUAAAAUGUUCCACGUGUGGGAUUUUGUAUGUACCAUAUGAAUAAGGAUCGGCUAACUCCGUGCCAGCAGCCGCGGUAAUACGGAGGAUCCGAGAGUUAUCCGGAUUUAUUGGGGUUAAUGGGAGCGUAGGUGGAUUGUUAAGUCAGUUGU
rnacentral:rRNA from 1 species